CCGAGGUGUGGAGAAUGGUUUGGAUGUUCCCCAUGGGAUACGCCCUGCUGCCGUUGUUGGUUCCCGCAGCAAAGACGACGAACAAAAACCAGACGAUCUGAAGACGCAGCAACUCCGGAAUCUGCAGGAUCAAUCGGCAGCUGCCUUGCAGCGAAAGAUCGAAGAAAGAACCAACCAAUCAAAAACGAAUAUGUUUGUCAACACCAAUACCUUCUCUGCUCGUGCCCACUUCGGUGCCGGGAAGGAAUCUUGGUGGGUUCGGGACCUCUGAGACCGCAUGUAUGAUCUCCAUCCAAGAAAAGAUCUCGAAGGGCCCGGCGGCAUCCCCCUCAUCUCCAGGCCUUCUUGCCAUCGGUGACCUGUAUGUACUCCACCCAGAAGGAAGCUGAUGGUUGGUUCUUUCUAUGUCUCUCUUUCUUCCUUCCAAUCUUGUGGUAAUAUUGAAUCUAGUUGCUAUUCUGACGGAAACCGUUCAACGAAUGCAAGUCAGACGUCUGACGAGAAGGAUUCGGAAGUAUGGCACACUGCGACGGGAAUGCAGCGAUCCGGAUGAUUAAAGCCUGGUUUGCCAUCUACGCGUGAAGAAGCAGAAAUGAAGCUCAUGGCCUUGAGAGAUUUAGAUUGGGGCAAAGGAGAACAGGGUCGCAUGAUCAGUUUGAUGCAUCGCUGAUAAACAACGAAGAUUGCCAACACAAAGAUUGAACAACUGGAGGAUCAUAUUAAGACCUUGGCAAAUGAUCAAGAACAGCUAAAACAACCCAGGGCAAGAAAGCAGAGUUGUGAUGGAAGUGAACAAUAAAGGAUCUGUAAGUUCAUCGUUUGGCACUGAGGUUUUCUAAAGACACGAUGGAUGAUACUGAGCAGACCAGUAGGGACCCUGUACCACUACUAGGUUUGAAGCAAUUUUCUGCCGAUCCUAG